rnacentral:rRNA from 1 species
UGCCAGCCGCCGCGGUAAUACGUGUGGGGCAAGCGUUGUUCGGAAUUACUGGGCUUAAAGGGUUCGUAGGCGGUUUUGUAAGUCAGGGGUGAAAGUCGGUGGCCCAACCAUCGAAUUGCCUUUGAUACUGCAUCACUUGAGUGUGUUAGGGGAGAGCGGAACGUGUAGUGUAGCGGUGAAAUGCGUAGAUAUUACACGGAAGGCCGGAGCCGAAGGGGGCUCUCUGGGACACAACUGACGCUGAGGAACGAAAGCGUGGGGAGCAAACAGGAUUAGAUA